UGGGGUUAUGUUUAGAAAAAAAAUAAAUUUAAUGGUGAAUUAGUGAUAGAUUUGUGAUAAAAUUUAUGAUAGAUUUGUGAGAGAAUUUUGUGAUGGAUUUAUUCUGAAUGUUAUGAUGGAUUAGUGAUGGAUUUUAUGAUGGAUUCAUCAGAAAUUUAUGAUGGAUUUAUUCUAAAUAUUGUGAUGGAUUUGUGAUGGAUCAAUGAUGGAAUGUUG
rnacentral:lncRNA from 1 species